AUACUUACCUGGCAGGAAAGAUACCGUGACCAGGAAGGUGGUUUUCCCAGGGCGAGGCUUAUCCAUUGCAUUCUGGAUUUGCUGACCCCUGCGAUUUCCCCAAAUGUGGGGAACUUGACUGCAUAAUUUGUGGUAGUGGGGGGACUGUGUUUGUAUUCUUAAA
rfam:Erinaceus europaeus unplaced genomic scaffold scaffold01065, whole genome shotgun sequence